UACAGAGACUGGAAGCGUUAUUCGGAUUCACUGGGCGUAAAGUGUGCGCAGGCGGCAGAGCAAGUCGAGUGUGAAAGCCCCGGGCUUAACUUGGGAAUUGCGCUCGAAACUACUUUGCUGGAGUGUGGCAGAGGAAGGUGGAAUUCCACGUGUAGCGGUGAAAUGCGUAGAGAUGUGGAGGAACACCAAUGGCGAAGGCAGCCUUCUGGGCCAACACUGACGCUCAUGCACGAAAGCGUGGGGAGCAAACAGG
rnacentral:rRNA from 1 species